UACGUAGGGGGCAAGCGUUGUCCGGAAUCAUUGGGCGUAAAGCGCGUGUAGGCGGUUCAGUAAGUCUGCUGUGAAAGUCCAGGGCUCAACCCUGGGAUGCCGGUGGAUACUGCUGGACUAGAGUGCGGAAGAGGCGAGUGGAAUUCCUGGUGUAGCGGUGAAAUGCGCAGAUAUCAGGAGGAACACCGAUGGCGAAGGCAGCUCGCUGGGACGGUACUGACGCUG
rnacentral:rRNA from 1 species